rnacentral:tRNA from 1 species
AGUCCUGUGGUGAAAGAUCAUAUUGAAUUGCAAAUUCAAAGAAGCAGCUUCAAUUCUGCCGGGGCUU